rnacentral:lncRNA from 1 species
UGGCUGUAAUUUUAAAGAUAUUCACCAGAGUUAUGACAAACUAUAUAUCAGUAGAAAGCUUAUGACCUAUAGAAACUAAAAAUACUAAUCACUAGUACCUAACGUCCUUUGUAACCUGACACCAGGCCGGCAAUCAUACCACAUGCUGUGCAAAACUAGGGUGCAUUUGAGAAAAGAUAUCUGCUUAUAAAUUGCUUGGAAUUUUAAGAAAUUUUAUCAGUAAGUAGUAUAGGCAUCAUUAUCUUAAAUGAGCAUAGAACUUUUUUGUAUGAUAAAUCUAGUGGCCACAGCAGAGGUACAAAGUUAACAUAGGUUUUUUCGAUAAUAUUUUUUGUCAUAAAAUGUAUUCCACACAAGAUACAGAAAUUUCCUAUGCUUAAUUAAGGUGGCUCGAUACACUUUUUAGCCAAAGGAGCAAAAGUUGAAUAUUUUCUGUUUAAAUGCUUUUACAGGGUUAAGUUUUACUUAUAAUUGUAACACAUAGUAAGACGUGUCACAGACAAGAAGAAUUCUGAUAAAAGUCGCGUUUCCAUGACAACUAUAACGAAUACUGGCAACACUAAAUAGCCGAAAAUAUCGCAGUUUUUCGAGUUUUUUUAAAAAAUGAGUUCGGUGACCCCAACUUUUUUUUUAAUAAAUCAGUUACGUUAGUGUCGAGAAACAUUUCUGGGAAGUUUAAAAAAAAUCUGUCGACUCAAUUCUUUAGAAUUAAAUUUCGACUUUUUUGACAGUUUCUGUCGACAAUUUUUUUUUAUUUUUCUAUCAUGAAAUCUUGAAGCAUGUAUCUACUCAUGUACAAAUUUUCAGGGUACCUUACCGAACUCGUUUUGGAAAUAAUCACGGUUUUAUUCCGCGCGGCCAAAGUUUUUCACACUCUGCAAGAUCAAUGAAUUGACAUGCGCGUACAUGUUUUCGCAGGCGCAUCUCCAGAAAAACACGCACAAAAAAGUUUUUAGUCUCGUCGAAAUAUCAAAUAUAUAUUGUGUUUUCUUGCUUAGAAAUGCAAAUAUAUUUGGUUUUUCAUGCUAACUCGGGAUAACGCCAAGAAAACAGGUGAUUGUCGGUCGUUUGGUAUAAGAUAUGUGUAACAUGUAUGAACUUUUUGGCUUUUCUACAUAGUUUUAUAUUCGUUUUCAGUCGUAACUUGUGUGUUUUCAUGUUGUUGUUGACAAGUUAAAACAGUUUGAACCGGCGCACGAUGCUGUUUCACUGAAUUCCUUUGCUGUUAGUAACACUUUGAAUACAUUUACCAGUUGUAAGUACAAAAAAACUCUGGAUAUGAACUUAUAAAUCGCCAAAUAUUGGAGUAAAAACUUUUCGCCGGUCCGGGGCCGAUCGCCAGUUUUCACAAGAGUUUGAAAGUUGAACAUUGCAUUUUUUUACCUUAAAAUGUCUUCUAAAAAGACUAGUUAUUCAAUGUUCAGAGCUAAAUCAGGACGAAGUUUGUUCUUUGAGAACAAAUGAGAACAAGGAAGACUCAAAACAUCAAAAUAAACAUGACUUGUGGUUCGGAUUUUAUACCGAAAAAGUUGUAUUUAUUUUUGCAUAUAUUUUUAACAUUUUCGCGCGAGAACUGAAGAUUAGGUACCAGUCCCCCAAUGAUGAAAAGUGUAUGGAGCCACCUUAAGACAGCUCUAAUAAAAGAAUAAGCCCUGAAAAUUUCAGGACAAUUGGUUAAAUACAUCAUGAGGUAUCUUUUCUCAAAGACGGAAAAUGUACAUUCCGAGAAAACAAGUGUUAAAGUUUUUAAACAACUGUUCGAGCUGUUCCUGACAGGUUUCAGGGACUUUAGCCUAUUUUUUUGUCAUUAGAAGUACUUUUAGCACUUCAGAAGCCUCCAGCCUCAUAGGUUGUCCCUUCUGCUUCUCAUAGAGCUUCGUCUCUCGGUUUUCUUUUGGAGCUGCUCCACCUGUCGACGUCUGUUGUUUUUUCAGAUGUCUGGCGGUUAAACUUUCUGACCUGUUUCUUGUCUUUUAAGAGCAAACUUAGUUUUUCCUGCAGUUUGAUGUUUGGUUUAAAAGAUGUUCCUGUGUGUUAACUUAAAUGACUCUAUUGGUAUAGCUAAAUUUUCCAUAGUUUUCUUUGCCGAACCCUCUUGCUGGUAACAAGGAUGUUUAAAGAUGCACACUCCACUCAUCGUGCUUACCAAAGGAAUAUGAAGACCAACAUUUACCACAGUUUUUUGUAUAUGUGAAUCAAUUUUCAAUACCAAAUUACAUGAUUUUGUAAGAUAACAUUGUCUGUAACUGUAUUCUUGUGCUAUUGCUGCAAGCGGUACACUCGGUAACCGUAUUUGGCCCAAAACAAGCUCUCAAACUUGGUACAACUUGACAUGUAAUUACAGUACCUAAAAUGCAGUACAGAAACAACCUCAUUAAUAUUAAUACCAAGAAGCAUUAAAAUAGUAAAAUUAUAACAAUGAAGCAAGAAAUAAUGUAUUGAUAUC